rnacentral:lncRNA from 1 species
ACACAUCGAGGAUAAUUAACAUUCAUGCGUACUUCAUGAAAAAUCUAGGAUGGGAUUAAGAUUGCCUUGACCAAUUAAAUGAUGGGUUAAAAAUAAGAAAGAUUAGUGACAAAUGAGGUUGAAAAAAAAAACAAAAUAGAGGAAAGGAUUAAGAGUUCCACUCGAGGAAAUAAAUUUUUUAAGAAUAUAUAUUUAGGGACAUGUGAUCGGAAGUGGACAAGAAUAGAAAGAAAAUAGUAGGAAUUAGUGUUAAAUCACUAUGUGCAGGUUAUAUGCAAUAGUAACAUAAAUUUAAGGAUGUGAGGAAAGAAAUGACAUUGGUUUAUGUAUAAGUAUGUGUGUAUUUAUCGAAAGAAUGAGAAAGGAAAGAAAAAUAGAAUAAAAUAAAGAGAGAUGUAUGGAUAUCCAUUGAGGUUGUGAAUUGGGUGAGUAUACGAUCACUAGUGUGUAAUUAAUAAAUUGUUUUAUGGGUAUUUCAAAGAAAGUCUCUUGUAUAUGUUUUAUUUGAUAGGUAUUGACAAGUGUUGUGAUUAAGGUAUUUUGAGAGAACAUUAUUUAAGGAGGCUGGGUUAUUUUUAAAGAAUUAAAUGUUGAUGUUUAUUAUUAGAAAUUUUUGGGAAAUUUGCUACUUUGUAGAUCAUGGAAGGAUGAGGUACAUGCAUAGACAUAAUCAAUAUUUGAAGCAUUGAUCAUAUUACGUAUAUGAUUGACUGGUUUUAAUUUUCUCUUUGGGGUGUAGAAAAGUGGGGACAAUCUAAUUCUAAAGAAAAGCAAAAAAUAAAUAAAUAAAUUAUUUGACUAUAAGAGAAAAGAACGUUAAAUCAAGAAAAUAUAUUCUAAAUGGAGAGAAUAAAGAAACCAUGAGAUGUGGGACGUUGUGGACACAUUCCUAAAUACUAUGAAAUGAUAUUUUUUUUUGGGUGUCAAUUUUAUCGACUGUUUCUUCAGCUAGAUUUUUAUUGGGAUCUUAUGAAUAGUGUACUACUCCUAUUAUGAUAAUUUUUAUGGAACUUAUUGAUUAUAUGUUAGCGCAUUUUAAAAUUGAAGAUGAUUUACAAGUUCAAGCUUUAGUUAGAAUAGACGAUUAGUUUAGAUUUUGUCAUUUUAGUGAAGGAUAUUAAUGUAGAUACACAAGAAAGAUAUACUGGAUUAGAAUAUCACUUUGAGGUGAUUUAUAAAAUUAUAUAUAGAUAAGAUUGUUAUUGGUAGGUGGAGUUUGAGUAUUUAUUUUUGGAUUAGUCGUAGGGAGUUAUAUAACUAAAUUUCAUUUUGCAGCUUUUUAGAAAGUCAACACUAUGAAGACAAGUUCAGAAGACAGGCUAUCAACUAUGGUUGGUUAAUUAAAGGAGAAUUGGAUAAUUAUUAUUUUUCAUGAAAUUGACAUAUAAGAACUAGACACUAGUGACGAUAAUUUAGGUUAUAUAUGUUAUUGAAAUAGUUCAAGGAUGUACCUAUUGUGAUGAAAUUGGUGAAAGAAUGUUAGUCGGUCUUAGUGUGUAACCAUUGUAAUAGAAGAGGGAUUUGAUUAGAGAAUAGUUCAAAUCAUAAUGUAAGAUGAAGUUUGGGGAGAAUAUGGAAACUAGUAUCAUGAAUUUCAAAUGGGCGAAUAGCUGAAUAUUUUUUUGAGAUAUGGUAACUUGAAAAGUUGAGAAUAUUAUAUAUUGCUUUUUGAAAUGUUAUUUAAAACUUGGGUCCAAUUGUUUCAUGAUGGAGUUCACAAUGGUUUUAUCUGGUAGUUAGGAAUGUAUUGUUUAUUUCUAAGGCUUUGUAAGUAGAUAUCAAAUUUAACUUAUGCGUUAAGAUUACUAGUGAAGUUAAAGAGUGGUCUAUUUAGAAAAGCCAAAUAAGAUGCAAUAUGAAAGAAUGAUUUGUGUCUAGUUCAAGACUGCAAGAAAAAGUAUUCAUCGUGGGUGUUUUGUGCCUUUUAUGUGUUUGAAUUCUAGUUGAUUGAAUUUCGAUGACUAAAUUCUUUAAAGGAGGUAAGAUUGUUACAUUCCAUUUUAUCUACUUAAAAGUCAAUAUAAUUUAUUCAAAGUCAAAAGUUAGACUAGUCAAAGUCAAAGUCAAUUAUGGACUUAAAUGAAAUAAAUCGUUUUAUUGGGGUUUAUUUUAUAUUUUAGAUAUUUGAGGAUUUAUAAUGGACAUCAUUUAAAUUGGAGGACUUCUUUUAUAACUAUGGAAAGUUUAAUGACCAGAUUUUAUACAAAACAUAAAAGGAAGGACUUGAAUAGCAAAUAUGGGAGUUAGGAGGACAAGUGUCAUUGUAGAGGCCAUUUCUUCAUUUUCUAUUCAUACAGACACAUACAUCCAAAAUGCUGAAAUGGGAAAAAGAAGCAGAGAAAAUCGGUGGAAAAAAAAAAGAAAAAUAAAAUAAAAUUGGAGGUGUCGGCCAACGACGCAUAGGAGGGAAGAUACACUUCUUCAAGUAUUGGGUUGUCUUUCAUAUCCCCAUUUCUUCGACAAUCUCAAGUGAGUAAGUUUUAUACAAACUUAGAUUUCUUAUUUUGGGUCAACAAGUGAAAAAUAAGCCCAAUUUCUUGAUGGUCUAGUACAGAUAAACUGUUUUUCAUUUUUUAAGCUUUUAAGCUAUGUGAAUCAAAUAUGUAUUAAUUCUGGGGUUGGAAUUUUGUGGACAGAAAUUCAGCUAGUAGUUGGGUUAGAAUUGAAAUUUAAAUAAAGAAACCAAAAGGCAAGUGAAGAAUUG